rnacentral:rRNA from 1 species
GACGUAGGGUGCGAGCGUUGUCCGGAAUUAUUGGGCGUAAAGAGCUCGUAGGCGGCUUGUUGCGUCGGCUGUGAAAACCCGCGGCUCAACCGUGGGCUUGCAGCCGAUACGGGCAGGCUAGAGUUCGGUAGGGGAGACUGGAAUUCCUGGUGUAGCGGUGAAAUGCGCAGAUAUCAGGAAGAACACCCGUGGCGAAGGCGGCUCUCUGGGACGGUACUGACGCUGAGAAGCGAAAGCGUGGGGAGCGAACAGG